rnacentral:tRNA from 1 species
GGGGAUUUGGCUCAGUAGUAGAGCACUUGCCUAGCAAGCACAAGGCCCUGGGUUCGGUCCCCAGCUCUG